GACGAACGCUGACGGUGUGCUUUAGACAUGCAAGUCGAACGAGAAAGCCCUUCGGGUUAGUAAGUGGCGAACGGGUGAGUAACACGUGGGCAAUCUGCCCCUCGCAGGGGGACGAACCGGAGGAAACUCCGGCUAAUACCCCGUAAGUUCAAAGGGAGGCAUCUCUCUUCGAAGAAAGGUAGCUUCGGCCAUCCGGCGAGGGAUGAGCCCGCGGUGCAUUAGCUAGUUGGUGGGGUAACGGCCUACCAAGGCGACGAUGCAUAGCUGGUCUGAGAGGAUGAUCAGCCACACUGGGACUGAGACACGGCCCAGACUCCUACGGGAGGCAGCAGUCGGGAAUCUUGCGCAAUGGGCGAAAGCCUGACGCAGCAACACCGUGUGUGUGAGGAA
rnacentral:rRNA from 1 species